GGUUCGGCCGGGUGGUCUCACCUAAUUGGGUGAGUACUACUCCCCAGUGCUGUGUGCGUCGUUUGCCUCCGGGCAGGCGAUGUUCAUGGUACUGUGGUUUGGUCGGACCUCACCUUCCUAGGCUGCCGGUGUGCCCUUUGCUGGGUGUGCCGUGUCACGUCUUGGACGUUUACCUUGAAAAAAUUAGAGUGUUCAAAGCAGGCAUUUUCGCCUGAAUAUAUUAGCAUGGAAUAAUGAAAUAGGACCACGGUUCUACUUUGUUGGUUUGGUAGGACUGAGGUA
rnacentral:rRNA from 1 species